CACGUAGGGCGCUAGCGUUGUCCGGAAUUAUUGGGCGUAAAGAGCUCGUAGGCGGCCUGUUGCGUCCGCUGUGAAAGCCCGGGGCUUAACCCCGGGUCGGCAGUGGAUACGGGCAGGCUAGAGGUAGGUAGGGGAGAAUGGAAUUCCCGGUGUAGCGGUGAAAUGCGCAGAUAUCGGGAGGAACACCGGUGGCGAAGGCGGUUCUCUGGGCCUUACCUGACGCUGAGGAGCGAAAGCGUGGGGGGCGAACAGG
rnacentral:rRNA from 1 species